AAUUGGGUGUAAGACACUUCCCCUAGAGUCAUGGACUUCCUUGACUAUCAGCCGCUUAUGUCAAUUUACUUGUCAGGUGACUGCUCCAUCAAAGUCAUCUACUCUAAGUGAGAUCUUCGUAUCGACCCUUACGAGGAAGGCACCUCGGUGGCCUAUACUACGCGACCAUCGGUCUAAGCUAGCCAUAGUUUUAAAGGUUCUAAAAGGGGUCU
rnacentral:lncRNA from 1 species